UACGUAGGGUCCGAGCGUUGUCCGGAGUUACUGGGCGUAAAGCGCGCGCAGGCGGCGCGGUAAGCAUGGCGUGAAAGCCCCCGGCUCAACCGGGGAGGGUCGUCGUGGACUGCCGUGCUUGAGGGCGGUAGGGGCUGGUGGAAUUCCCGGUGUAGUGGUGAAAUGCGUAGAGAUCGGGAGGAACACCCGUGGCGAAGGCGGCCAGCUGGGCCGACCCUGACGCUGAGGCGCGAAGGCGUGGGGAGCGAAC
rnacentral:rRNA from 1 species